rnacentral:rRNA from 1 species
UACAGGGGGGGCAAGCGUUGUUCGGAAUUACUGGGCGUAAAGGGUCUGUAGGUGGCCAACUAAGUCAGACGUGAAAUCCCUCAGCUUAACUGGGGAACUGCGUCUGAUACUGGAUGGCUUGAGUGUGGGAGAGGAAUGCGGAAUUCCAGGUGUAGCGGUGAAAUGCGUAGAUAUCUGGAGGAACACCGGUGGCGAAGGCGGCCAACUGGACGAAUACUGACGCUGAGACACGAAAGCGUGGGGAGCAAACAGG